UACGGAGGGUGCAAGCGUUAUCCGGAUUCACUGGGUUUAAAGGGUGCGUAGGAGGGCAGGUAAGUCAGUGGUGAAAUCCCCGAGCUUAACUUGGGAACUGCCGUUGAUACUAUCUGUCUUGAAUACCGUGGAGGUGAGCGGAAUAUGUCAUGUAGCGGUGAAAUGCUUAGAUAUGACAUAGAACACCAAUUGCGAAGGCAGCUCGCUACACGAAUAUUGACUCUGAGGCACGAAAGCGUGGGGAUC
rnacentral:rRNA from 1 species